UACGUAGGGGGCAAGCGUUGUCCGGAUUUAUUGGGCGUAAAGAGCGUGUAGGCGGCCAGGUAGGUCCGUUGUGAAAACUCGAGGCUUAACCUCGAGACGUCGAUGGAAACCAUCUGGCUAGAGUCCGGAAGAGGAGAAUGGAAUUCCCGGUGUAGCGGUGAAAUGCGCAGAUAUCGGGAGGAACACCGGUGGCGAAGGCGGCGACCUGGGUAGAUACUGACGCUGAGGUGCGAAAGCGUGGGGAGCAAACAGG
rnacentral:rRNA from 1 species